GGUUGAGUGGCGCAAUGGUAGCGCGUUGCUUUCCGGUCUUCACUUGGAAGUUGGCAAAGGUUCUGGGUUCGAGUCCCAGCUUGAUCG